CUCCACUCUACAGACGCAUAAACCGAGGCUCUAAGACAUUCAUUAAUAGCGACCCAGGUCGUAACUAAUACUCAGCAGGAACUGGAUACCGGGACGCUUAUGACCUCAGAGCCAGGCUCUCAACCUCUGUUGCAGCUUUCAAAGUGUGCGCCAAGUCAGCAAGCACCGGGCUGACACCGGAACCAGGACGCUCUGCCACUGGAUGCCGCCCAGCUGCUGCGCGGGACCGCAUGGGUACCAGAGAAGCAAACGUGAAUUGCAGUGUUCCCAAGGGCUCGCGCGCGUCCUUCAAAACCUGCCAGCCACCACGAAGGAAAAAGACAGCUUAGAUUCUAUCUGACCCUAGAGAAUGGCCAGAGGAUGCCACCAGAAAGGGAUACCCGUGGCGAGGUUCGCUCCCGGACAGCCCAUCUUGACCGACCCCAGCAAAAGAUAUCAGCGCCUCUAGGUGCAGAAGAUCUGAGAGCGUGAGGCGGGGCGGGGCUGGGCUGGUGCGAAGACGUGGAAUCGUGUCUUUUCCGUGAAGCUUCGGGCCGGAGACCAAAGGAGGGAGCGUCACCUGAAGACGCAUCAACUUCUGACUCCUGGGGGCAUGCAGCUGUGGCCUGGCCUUAAAAGCGUACCUCUGGCCCAAUGGCGAGGUCUGUAAACAAAAGCCGGCCUCACACGGGUCUACAGCCCGGUGGCCUGCCUCACCGUGCACAGGCAUCGGAGAAGCAGAGCGGGAGAGAGGGCCAGAUCCGGAUAGGAUCCGGAGCGCGGACGUAAAGAACGGCCCCACUACCUGGACCAGUCAUUGUCUGCCCACCCAUAGGAUUCUGCUUUAAAUGCCCCCUCCCUAGCCCACCGCAGGUCCUUCACACUGUGUGCCCGCCCCCAAGGCUCUCCCGUGGUGUGCCCGACCGGGAGCGCAGCAUGGAUGGCCAAGGUGAACACCCGGCAACGUUGGCGAAGGGACAGGCCCGUAAGUGCCCAAGUCCGGGACCGAGACACACAGACAGAUCCAGGCGCGCGCGCGCGCGCGUGCACACACACACACACACCCUCCCAGAAGUUGAUUAAAAAUCAGCCGAUAAAUACAUAGAGAUGAGGCCGCCUCAGGUCAACGCUGACCUCCUGCCUCCAGAAUGAUCGAAUGCCAACGCCUGCACACUGUCACUUGCAUUCGGCUCCAGUACCUGGGCUCCGCUGUCUCGGCUAGUUUCUGGACUCUCCUUGGCGCGAUACAGAUGUGCCUUCCCUCCCCAGAUCACCUCCCAAGUGUAUGCACACGAAAACAAUACAAGCAAAGCCCGGUCUGGGGGAGCUAGGACCCACCGGGAGCCCCAGUGUGCGAAUGGGAGUCAGGACGUGCCCGUCACGGGCACCGCGGCUCUAGGCAUUCUCAUCGCCAUCCCUCGUGGAGACUCUGGCCAGUCAGCCCGACCGGCUUAGGCCAGGGUACUCACCAGUGACGUUCACCCAGGAUCUUGAAGACCUGGCCAGGCACAAAGCGGGGCCGCUGGGCCCCUGGGGCUGCGGGCGCCGAAGCCUUAACGGCGCUGCAGAGCUGCGAACCCGACGGCAGCGGCGCUGCUCAGCCCUUCGGCCCGCUCGCCGUCUGCCAAUGGGAACUGUCAGGGCUCCUGGGCCAGCGGGCCUCGGGGGCGGGGCCUCGGAAGCCCGUGGGAAACCGAGCUCCGAUUGGAGCUGCGGACAAUCGCUCCGCCUCCGUCCAGCCAAUCCGAGGCGGAGGACACGGGAGCGGGGCGUUCAGAGUUGGGCUGGAGUGUGACAACAGGCGCACGCCGGGUACCUGAGCGGCAUCCGGGCGCCAGGUGGGCCCUGUGGCUGGAGGGAUGCCGGCGGUGCACACUCCCGGGUGCCUUGACACGGUGCUCUGGCGUAAGCAGCCUGGGGAAACCGCAGCAAGAAUAACGAGACCUGCCGGCACGGGCCACGGCGAAGGAGCCCCUAACAAAGCAGCUUCGGGAGGGCCUGCUGGCCUCCGCCUCCUUCUCCAAUAGGUCCGUGAAGCUGCCUGUCACCAGACAUAGGUGGAGGUGGCCAAUGACGCGCACGAAUGAGCUAGAGUUGGCGCGCGCGCGGCUUGGCAGCGGUGGGAUUGGUCGGAGGUAAAGGAUUUUCCUGCCACCUAAGGCCUUGGAAGGCGGGGGGGCACCGAAUGGAGGAGGCGAAGAGCCAAAAACCUAGUACCUGCGACACGUGGUCUAGUUUGGGCGGCAUGUGGCUGACUCUAGGGAGAAACAGGAAUUUGCUUAGGUGAGAUAAAAUCUCAACGCGUCCCCUCUCUUAGGAGCCAGAUAAUAUCCGCCACCAAACAGACUUUAGGUAGGCAGAGUGGCCUUAGCCAAGUAUUGGAUAGUCCGGGACUCAUUGGGCUAAUGUCCAGCAAGUGAACUUGAGUUUCACGGUCGCCAGGGCAUUGUUCGUGACUGACGAGGUUCGCACAUGCCUCGGCUCUCUGUAAAAUCCUCGUAGUUGGUGCAGGUUGGCCUUUCUCAAGGUGGCGUGAGCCACAAAACAGCCUUAAAGCUAGUGACAAAACCGCUUCCCUAAUCCAGGCCAGAGCCUUCCCCUCGCUUUAGAGCUCUCCCAGCUUGGCCCAGGGAGUGGGAGGAGCAGACCUGCGGUUAUCUUGUAAACAGUGUACCUAGUGGCUUAUUGAGGCUGAAGUAGGAGGAUAUUGAAUUGAAGAUCAGCCUGAAACUGUUUCAAAAAGAAAAGAAAGUUAACACCUUUUCCUUCUGCACCCUCCUUCACCUCCCAAAUCCAUACUGCCUCUCACCUGAAUUUCAUUAAAGGCAUCCACCUUACUAAAAGAUUGUUCCAAACAGGAAGAUCUCAGUCUCUCAGCUCUGUUGUCUUCUCUUCCCCCAGUGUGUAUAGUCCCUCAGAGAUGGAAACAUUCCUUCUAGCAGGGAAUAUCCUUAAGUAGAAAGGAACACAACCCAAAAUAGCUUCAGGAAGUCCCUAAAACUGAGCAGAUUUGCUAGGUCCCUCCCUGCCAUACUAAGCAGUAAGAGCUGAGUCUCAAAUGAGCCAAGAUGCAGACUUAGAUGAGACCAGACCAGCCUCCUAGAAGAGGCAGAGACCAACUGAGUCACUUGGAAAGGACAGGCUCCUACAGACUGUACAGUGUGCUCCAGGUUCCCAGCUCUUGUGAGCUGUCACCAUGCUGGGGUGGCCUUUGGUGAUGCAGCUGUCUCUGAGUCAUGUCUGCUCUUGUUAAGCAAUCCCAAUAAAAUUCAUUGGUUCACUUACUUGGACUUUGCUGGUAUUUGUACGUUGGUCUGUCAUAAGAUGUAUUGCCUCUCCACAGGAAAAGUUUUGUCACACAAAACCCAGACCUAGGCACCCUUCCUUCCCUUGAACAAUUGCUACACAUUCCUUAAAGCCCAGCUUGGCUGACGUUUGCUGAACUUCUGGUGAGCAGGGUGUGCUCUCAUAGACACCAGGGAUCCUCCUGUGCCAGUGAGAAUUAGUUGCCCACCUCUGGUUCUCCCUGCCUCUUAGAGCACUAAAAUUGUCAAAACACACACACACACACACACACACACACACACACACACAAACUGUGUUUCCUGCUUGAGCAGAGUACCCUGAAUUCAGAAUAUCCCUUCGGAGGGGUGGGGGUUACACAUCCCAGAGCCUACUACAUGGCACAUUUAAAUGUAUUUAAAUAAUAUAUUUAAUUAAUAAGCUGUCAGUGUAUUGAGGUGAGCUUGAAGUGCUUCUAAAACACAAGGUACAGGAGAAUGUUUAGGUUGGCAGAUCUCAGAGUGACUUGUUUGCUGUCACUCUGUCUGCAGGGAAAUAGAGGGAUGCAAACAUCUGGCCCUCAGAGGCACCUGGACUUGAGGACACACAGACACACUCUCAUACACACACACAGACACACACACUCACACACACAGACACACCUGUCAUUUUAGUUUUAAAGAUAAAUAAAGGACUGGGAGGGUGGGUCUGUUGUUAAGAGCACUGGCUGGUGAAGAACCCAGCAUCUCGGUGGAAGCUCAAAGUCCCAGGGAAUUAAAUGGCCCUCUUCCAGCCUGCCUGCGUGCUGCACACAUGGUGAUGUAGGUAAAAGACUCAUACGCAUGAAAUUGUGAGGCCUAAAUUUUAGACUGUACAUGUUUUCAGGAAAAGCCUCUUAUACUCACCUCACAGGGCCAAGGCAUCUGCAGGCCCCACUGCGGACCUCUGCAGUGGACAGCAUCAUUUAAGAAAAUAUUACUGAAAGCCGUAUGACGGCUACUCUUCUAAACAGCUCUGUAGAAAUUAUCCAUCCUCAGAUGCUAAUGUUAUUUUAGUCUCAUAGAUGGGUGUGAUGGUUUGUAUUUGCUCAGCCUAGGGAGUGGCACUUUUUGGAGGUGUGGCCCUGUUGGAGUAGGUGUGUCACUGUGAGCAUGGGCUUUAAGACCCUCAUCCUAGCUGCCUGGAAGCCAGUAUUCUGCUAGCAGCCUUCAGAUGUAGAACUCUCAGCUCUGUCUGUACCAUGCCUGCCUGGUUGCUACCAUGCUCCCACCUGAAUGAUAUUAGACUGAACCCCUGAACCUGUAAGCCUGCCCCAAUUAAAUGUCCUUAC
rnacentral:lncRNA from 1 species